rnacentral:rRNA from 1 species
UACGUAGGGGGCGAGCGUUGUCCGGAAUCACUGGGCGUAAAGGGCGCGUAGGCGGCGCGAGUAGUCAACGGUGAAAGCCCGGGGCUCAACCCCGGGUCGGCCGUCGAUACUCUCGUGCUUGAGCACUGUAGAGGCAGGUGGAAUUCCGGGUGUAGCGGUGGAAUGCGUAGAGAUCCGGAAGAACACCGGUGGCGAAGGCGGCCUGCUGGGCAGUAGCUGACGCUGAGGCGCGACAGCGUGGGGAGCAAACAGG